CUAUGUGACAAUAAGCUGAAAGUAACAUUUAAAUGAGAAAUGUGGUUAUUUUAAUUUUUUUUAUAGUUUAAAGAUGAUGUAAAAAAGUGUUUUGGGAAAGAAGGGCUUUGGCCUGUCUUCCCAAAGUACAAAUUGAAGUGUGUUUGUUCACAAGCCCUACAAAUAAUUACGGGACCACUGGAUUUAAGACCACCAUUAACCCAUCUGAUCAUGCCACACCCAGCUAUUGGGCACAGCCUCUCGUUAAUUAAUGGCUUUAGGUGGUCAGGGAAUAAUAGGAUGUAUAUGACUGUUAAUAACCCUAAAUCUCAAAAUGGUUUUUUUGUGCUAAUAUAUUGCUUAUUGACUGCUUAUUGAAUGUGAUCGUGUUAUAAGUCAACAGUUUAUAAAGAAGGCACCUGCUUUUUCAUAAAAGUGUUUGAAUAUUAGAGCAUAUGUAAGUGAGAGUGGCUUGAAAUUUCACUCCAGCCAAAUUAAACCAAAUUGCAGUUGUAGAAAGGAACUAAGUUUUACCCCAAAACAGCCUGUGAUCUAAUAGAAAAUAAUUUCCAGCAGCAGCACCCUCCAUCUGUGCCUUACUUGUGGUGUUAUGAAUUUGGCAACACCUCAGCAGUGAGCUACUGUUUAUAAGAAGAGAUCCCAGCAGCUAAAAGAAGCCAGUCAUUGGGAUGACUCACUACUUGCCUUGUGAACUGCUCAAGGGAAUUUCUUGAAGAACUAUGUCAAAAUCAGCUCUAGAAACCAUUAAUUUGAGAUCUUUCAUUGACACAUAACAAGUAUUCCCAGAUUAUUGUUGGUUAAGUUCGUGGGCUUGGAAGGAAGAUUCUUUUUGUCUGUACUGAGUGAAAAUUUUCCCCUUUUGUGCAAGGCAACAAGAGGAUAAAAAAGGCUUUUUUCCUCUCUGCAAGAAGAAAUCUGACGCAGUGUGAACCCAAUCAUCAAGGCACCAUGAACGCCUGCAGGAGGAUACAUUCUCUUCGUGCUCACAGGCAGAAAACCAACGGGAACAGAAGUGAGAACUGGCACAGCACCUCUGGGUUCAAGCACCAGCAAGGAGAUGAUCUUGUUACAGUCCAUACCCUUUACACAGUGAUCAUCGUGAUCCUUCUAAUGGCACUUUGGGGAGCCUGGUCAAGAAAGAAUUCAUCCUUAUAGAAGCAAUUUAGCAGCUUUCUUUGUCAAGUAUUUAAAUAAGUAAUUGUGUUGAUUACCCAUACCCAAGAAGUACAAAUAAUGGUCUCUGCCUAUUUCAAUUUACUUGAAACUGCUUAAAUGGUUGCUACUUGUGGAAGUGAAUUUAACAGACCAUGAUUUGUGAAUGACAGAUACCUGUUUGGCCUCUACAUGUGUAUAUUACCCUCAGCACGUAUAUGAAACUUUGAAGCACAAUAUUCUAGAAAGAAGAGUUCAACUUCUGUUUUAUUGGUCAACAUUUUGUAUGUCCACCCCAGCUUUCCAUUUUUGAGCUUAAACUGUGGAGUCUCUACCUCUGCUAAGAUUGCCUGUCCCAAUCCAUGGUAAAAUAUACACCAAAAGCAGGAAAAUAAUCUGCCAUGUCAUGACAACAUAAGAAAAAAAAUCAAUAAAACCGGCUAUCCUGCAGGCAAAGAAGGGUCUCUGAACAUGUGAAAUUCAUCUACGUCGCUGAAGAGACUUUAUACAGGACUUGCAUCCACAUAUUUUUAAUUUAUGGUAAUGAUUUUGUAAACUCAGGAAUAAAACCAUGAAAUAA